UGGGGAAUAUUGCGCAAUAGGGGAAACCCUGACGCAGCGACGCCGCGUGGGUGAUGAAGGCCUUCGGGUCGUAAAGCCCUGUGGGAGAGGGACGAAACACCGGUGGGAACAAUACCCCAUCGGCCUGACGGUACCUUUCCAGAAAGCACCGGCUAACUCCGUGCCAGCAGCCGCGGUAAGACGGAGGGUGCAAACGUUGCUCGGAAUUACUGGGCGUAAAGCGCGUGUAGGCGGACUGGCAAGCGGGGUGUGAAAGCCCUCGGCUUAACCGAGGAAGUGCAUUCCGAACUGCCAGUCUUGAGUGCGGGAGAGGGAGGUAGAAUUCCAGGUGUAGAGGUGAAAUUCGUAGAUAUCUGGAGGAAUACCGGUGGCGAAGGCGGCCUCCUGGACCGACACUGACGCUGAGACGCGAAAGCGUGGGGAGCAAACA
rnacentral:rRNA from 1 species